rnacentral:ribozyme from 1 species
GAAUGAAGAAAGAUAAAAAGAACAAAAAAAAAAAAGGGAGAUUCAUUCAUAUGUGUUGUGAUUUUAUAUUUUAUUAUGGAUGUCAUUGUUUUCAUUUGUAUUUAAGUGUUAAUAAAGGUG